rnacentral:lncRNA from 1 species
GAUUGGGUUCCUAGUUAGACUAAGACUUUUUCUCUCCUUGGGUGCAAUCAAAUCGUAAUUGGUUAAGGUUUAAUUGAGCACCUUGAGAAUCCCAUUGGACUGGGACUCUCUUUCUUCCUAGCACCCGCCCCAUAACAAUAAGCCACGCUCCAUAUCUAUGCCAAUCUUCUUCAUGCAAAUUUUGUUUUUUGCAUGGAGAAUGCUCACGCCAACAUUUCUCAAUGCCUUCCUCUUUCCUUAAGUGGAUAAGGAUGAGUUCAAACUGAAUUUGAAUCCUCAUUUGAUAAGUAUCGAUCCUUGCCUACUUAUCUUGGAUGCUUAAUAAAAGGAGAAAAAGAAGGGAAUGUGCAAC